AGUAAUCUAGAGGUGAUUUAAAGUCUACGGAAGGAUGUGCAUAGGUUAUAUGCAAAUACUAUGCCAUAUUAUAUCAGAGCAUCUGUGAAUUUUGGUAUCUCUGGGGUCCUGGAACCAAUAUCCUGAGGUUUCUAAGGGACAACUGUAUUCAAUUUCUUCUCUGGUUAUUAGUCUAUUCUCUAAUGUAUUUUUGUUGUUGUUUUGUCUUUUUGUUUUUGCCUCUUCAAGUCAAUGUCGGAAACUUAGUUGUUUUAGACAACCCAUUAGCUCAGAGCUACCAGUAAGCAGACUACCACUGCAAUCUAAGCAACGGAUUUUUUCCCCCAUCAGACUGGCAAAAAAUAAGCAUCUAUUGAUGUUGAAAUUGUAGGGAGUUUUCCUGAGCAUGUUAAUUAUGACAGCCCUUUUUGCUAGGCACCUACACAAUUCAUCAAAAUGAAAUAAAACACCCAUGCACUUGAAGAAGUUAUCUGGUUAUUUCCUUAUCUGGGUGCUGGUUAUGUGAGGUCUACAGUUAAUGAACACUUAUUAAGCUUUAUAUUUCUAAUAGGUACAAUUUUCUGCAUGUGUAGUAGAUUUCAAUAGUUUUUAAAAUGUCUUUUGCCGCAGCCCGCAGCUGUGUAUAAUGCUAUUCGCUUAACAGUGGAAAACAUGGCAAUGACCUGAAUCCCCCUGGCUCCCGGGAUCCUACCCCCUUAAGUUAAACAAAUGAAAUAACUUCCACUGUCUUUCCUAAUGUCUUAAUUCGGUCCUCAGUUAAACUGGCGGUGGGCGCUGCUUUUUUUCCAGGGAAGGAUUCUGGAAGACAUAGGAGGAGACGCCAGCAUUUCGCCCUCCAGCACCUCCUGCGGGCUGUGGUCCGCUUCCGGCCUCACUCGAGCAGACCCCGCCCUCCCAGAGGCCGUUUGUCCAAGUCACGUGAUCGUCGAAUCUGUUGACCUGGCGCCACCGGAAAAAGAAAUUCCCGGGCCCUGGCUUCUUGGCCUGAUGGUGAGGCACCAGAGGUGCUAAAGUGGAGGGCCUCCCAUGGGGUGUUCAGCCUGGGUGUGUAGAAGCACACAGUGUGGUACAGAGGACCCUCUCCAGACAGGUAAGUGGAGGGCGGUUCUCCCUGACCCCACCCCAAUUGUUUGUUCUGGGUGGGGUCCACCGCGCCCCCUGCCAAGGCCUUCUGCAAACACUCCCCAGGGGCUGUUGUGGGCAGCACCUGGGUGGUGCAGUUGGUGUGCCAGAAAAGCUCCCCAGUACUGGGCAGUGGCCCAGGCAGUCAAGCAGACUCCCUCAAGCAGGCCCCACCUACCCCUCGCCUGUUCCCAGCUGCCUCCCACCAACCCUAGAAAUGAUGCUGGGAGCUGACAGAAACUGAACUUAGGAGCACAGGAGGCCAGGAGACCUGGGACAGAGAACAGGAGGUGACCCCUCAUGCUGCUGCUCCCUCUGCUGAAACCCAAACUGCAAACCUCUCCUCUCCCUGCCUUCACCUUGCCCCACGGCUUCCACAGACAGUGCCUCAACCCCGAGGAAUGAAUCCGAAGUUCCAACACCACUGACUUUCCCAGGAACUCAGAGCCAGAGAGGGCCAAGGACCAGCUCGAGGACACACAGCCAGGGCUUCUUCCCUCCGAAACCCCCAAGGACUGGACUUGCAGGGCUGGGACAGAGGUGGGGUGGGGGAAAGCAAUGCCUUGUCAACCCACGUGGGGAGCCCCACUCCCAUCCCCAAGGUGCAUAAAGUUGAGGAACACCCCUGCU
rnacentral:lncRNA from 1 species